GAUGUUUGGAUACUAUGAUUGCCCCUGCGUAAGACGCCCAUUGAUGUGUUUGACUGUCUCAAGCAUCCAAUAGAAUCGAAGCUUAGUAGAUGGGUCGGUUCUUAGCUUUCUCAAGUUGGCCUGAUCACUCUAAUUAACUAACUUGUUCUCGAAUAUAACUCACUUUCACUCUCUUAAUGUUCUUUGGUUCGAAUCAGAUCAGAUUUGAAUGGAGAAUUGUACGCUACUCACUGUCACUCUCUUAAUGUUUGGAGCUGUCGCUGUGGGUGCGCUGGUGGCCGCCCACGUGUUCCUCCUCCCCUCCGCCGCCGUCCCCGACGCCUUCAAGCUCCCCAAGCAACGUGAGAUUGGAUACCGGCGAACGGCUAACGAGCUCGGCUGGACCCAGGAAAUCGCGCAUCCCCAACUCGCCAAGCUUCCGAUUUCCACUCAGAAGGUGGGCAUCACGAUAUCAGAUUCUUGGUUCGCGAAGUUGUGGAAGCCUCCAUCAAAUCGUAAUUUUGUGCCCUGUGUCUCUCCCAGUUCAUCUUUUCUGCCUCCUUCUCAAUCGAGGGGCUACUUGCUAGUUCAUGCCAAUGGUGGGUUAAACCAAAUGCGAGCUGGGAUAUGCGACAUGGUAGCCGUUUCACGAUUGAUUAAUGCCACACUUGUUAUUCCUCAACUUGAUAAAAGAUCGUUUUGGCAAGAUUCUAGCAAUUUCUCUGACGUUUAUGAUGAAGAACAUUUCAUCCACACCUUGGCCGAUGAUGUCGAAGUUGUAAAGAAACUACCAAAAGAACUGAUGACAGCUGCAAAAGCAGUAAUACAUUUUCGAAGCUGGUCAGGACUAGAUUACUAUCAAGAUGAGAUAUCACACAUGUGGGAUAAAUAUCAGGUUAUCAAAGCUGCCAAGUCAGAUUCACGUCUUGCAAACAAUAACCUUCCUCCUGACAUUCAAAAACUUCAUUGCUGUGCUUUUUAUGAGGCUCUCAGAUUUGCUCCACGGAUUGAGGCACUAGGAAAAUUAUUGGUGGAGAGAAUGAGGUCUUACGGUCGAUAUAUUGCUUUGCACUUGCGUUAUGAAAAGGACAUGCUUGCUUUUAGUGGGUGCACGUAUGGCUUGUCUUCAGUUGAAUCUGAUGAAUUGGCAAGAAUUAGAGAGAACAUUUCAUAUUGGAAGGUUAAAGAAAUUGAUCCCCAAGAACAAAGGGCCAAAGGGUAUGGUUGGAAUCUUUCUUUCUUCUCUUGGGUAUCCAUCGAAUACUCCAAUAUAUGUUGCAGCAGGGGCGAUAUAUGGAGGCGGCUCUCAUUUGUCUGAUCUAGAAUCUCGCUUUCCCAUUUUAUUAAGCAAGGAGAAAUUGGCAUCUGCAGAAGAGCUUGAACCUUUCAAAGAUUAUGCCUCACAAAUGGCCGCACUUGACUACAUUGUAUCUGUGGAAAGCGACGUAUUUGUCCCCUCAUAUUUAGGGAAUAUGGCAAGGGCAGUUGAGGGUCACCGCCCCUUCCUUGGCCACAGGAAAACAAUUAAUCCUAACAGAAAGGAUCUUGUUCAGCUGUUUGAUAAGAUCAAUCGAGGAUCUCUCAAAGAGGGGAAGAAGGGCAAGGUUCUCCCCGCAAAAGGAAAGGUCCCAUUCCUGGCACGAGGGGUGUGGAAAGGUUUCGGUCCAAAGAAGCAUUCUAUGAGAACCCUCUGCCAGAUUGUUAGUGCCAGCAGGAACACGAAGAGUUCGAUAACUCACCUGUGCGUAGAUAAAUUGGUAUACACCGAAGCCCCGUAUAGAGCAUCAUGUCCUACACCUGAUGGCUUGGCAAAAGAUUGAUACCCUCCAGCUAACAUCCGAUGAGGUGUUGGAAUCUCGACAUGCUUGACCCUAUUAGCUAUAGUACAGACAACCCUAUUGUUGGGAUGAACCGAUGAAGUCGAUCUCUUGUUUUGCAGACUUAAAAGAGAAGCUGAUGAGAAGGAUUCGGAAAGCAACUACUGGAGCAACUGCUGUAACAGCAUGCAUAAAGCAAGCAUAUUGGAAAGAAGAUGACUCAUAGCACUAGUUUUCAUGUUCCUAUAUAUAUACAAUUGAACAAAAAUCAGCAGGGGGUGUCUCAAAUCUGUACAUCAACCACAUGAUGAUCUUUCAUAUUUUAUUGAAAAAAUCAGUCAAAACUUGAUUCAA